GUGCAAGCAGCCGCGGUAAUACUAAGUGGGCUCUCGUUGUUCGGAUUUACUGGGCGUAAAGCGCACGUAGGCGGACUAUUAAGUCAGGGGUGAAAUCCCGGGGCUCAACCCCGGAACUGCCUUUGAUACUGGUAGUCUUGAGUUCGAGAGAGGUGAGUGGAAUUCCGAGUGUAGAGGUGAAAUUCGUAGAUAUUCGGAGGAACACCAGUGGCGAAGGCGGCUCACUGGCUCGAUACCGACGCUGAGGUGCGAAAGCGUGGGGAGCAAACAGGAUUAGAAACCCCAGUAGUCC
rnacentral:rRNA from 1 species